rnacentral:lncRNA from 1 species
CUCCUGCACAGGGCAACCAAAAGAGACCCAGCCGAUCAGCUGGGACUGAAUGGGAGGCAGUGAAGAGAUGGGGUUGGCAGGGCCAGUCAGAGGUGGGAUUGGCCAGUUCUCCAAAUGACUCACAAUUUCCACUACCAGGUCGUCAGAACUGGUCAGAACCGGCCACUCCAACUUUAUGGUUCUAUAUUCUACGAGAGGACAGCAUAAUCCUGACAGGGAAGGAAGGGAAAUUUAAAGGCUGUAUUAUUCUGGUGACUUUUUGUGGGUGACACCUUUCUCCUGUUGCCAGCUCAGCUCCGUCAGUUGCUGGGAAUUGUGGGUAGAGGAAAAUUACCCCAUGCAGAGAGUCCUCAUUUAGCAACCACAAGUGGAACCAGCAACCUGGUUGUUAACAAAGCAGUUUCUAAAAAAAAAACCCUGAUGAUCUGACUCCAGUUUUUCUUCACUUUACAGACCUGCCGAGGUCACCAAUGAGAUGGCUGGUUAUUGUUUCCCCACUGUCAGAACUGCAAACGGUCAUUAAUUGAGGACUACUUGCAUAGGGAACAGACCUCUACAGGGUUUCUCAUGUUUGACCAACCUCUGCUCUUUUUUUUUGCAGACAAGGGGCUGCCUCAAGCAGUGCGUGGAUUGUGGGAGUGAUUGCAGCUGUUAUCGGCUUUCUGGUUGUCCUUGGUAUUCCCUUUGUGUGUGGAGGAAGAAAGCUGCCAAGAGGAAACAACAGUUCACAAUGCGCUCAGAGAUCGAAAACUCACCUAGGAGUGAUUCCACUUUAAUAGGAGACCAGCCCAAGGAAACCAGGAGGAAGACAAAUCAGCCAGCUAGAACAGCAGCAAAGAACAGCCAGGAGAUGCCCCACACCAUUUAUGCCGCUGUGCAGCAUCCCAAACAGAAAGGAUGAAGUGCAUAAGCGCAUCAACGUGCCUACCGUCCCUGUCCUAUUGUUUCUUUUUAUUUUUCUUAUAUGUAUCCAUUUCAUGUGUUCAUAACUAUGUUUAUACUUAUACC